GACGAACGCUGGCGGCGUGCUUAACACAUGCAAGUCGAACGGAAAGGCCCUGCUUUUUUGGGGUGCUCGAGUGGCGAACGGGUGAGUAACACGUGAGUAACCUGCCCUUGACUUUGGGAUAACUUCAGGAAACUGGGGCUAAUACCGGAUAGGAGCUCCUGCUGCAUGGUGGGGGUUGGAAAGUUUCGGCGGUUGGGGAUGGACUCGCGGCUUAUCAGCUUGUUGGUGGGGUAGUGGCUUACCAAGGCUUUGACGGGUAGCCGGCCUGAGAGGGUGACCGGCCACAUUGGGACUGAGAUACGGACCAGACUCCUACGGGAGGCAGCAGUGGGGAAUAUUGCACAAUGGGCGGAAGCCUGAUGCAGCAACGCCGCGUGCGGGAUGACGGCCUUCGGGUUGUAAACCGCUUUCGCCUGUGACGAAGCGUGAGUGACGGUAAUGGGUAAAGAAGCACCGGCUAACUACGUG
rnacentral:rRNA from 1 species